rnacentral:rRNA from 1 species
UACGUAGGGGGCAAGCGUUAUCCGGAUUUACUGGGUGUAAAGGGAGCGUAGACGGCAGCGCAAGUCUGGAGUGAAAUCCCAUGGCUUAACCAUGGAACUGCUUUGGAAAUUGUGCAGCUAGAGUGCAGGAGAGGUAAGCGGAAUUCCUAGUGUAGCGGUGAAAUGCGUAGAUAUUAGGAGGAACACCAGUGGCGAAGGCGGCUUACUGGACUGUAACUGACGUUGAGGCUCGAAAGCGUGGGGAGCAAACAGG